rnacentral:misc_RNA from 1 species
AGCAGCCGCGGUAAUUCCAGCUCCAAUAGCGUAUAUUAAAGUUGUUGCAGUUAAAAAGCUCGUAGUUGAAUUUCGGGAUUGACACAUCGGUCGUGCCUUAAGGGGUAUGAACUGGUGUAGUCAAUUUCUCACCUUCUGGAGAACCGCGAUGCCCUUAAUUGGGUGUCGCGGGGAACCAGGACCUUUACUUUGAAAAAAUUUAGAGUGUUUAAAGCAGGCAUUUUGCUUGAAUACAUUAGCAUGGAAUAAUAAAAUAGGACGGCAUGAUUCUAUUUUGUUGGUUCCUAGGAUCACCGUAAUGAUUAAUAGGGAUAGUUGGGGGCAUUAGUAUUCAAUUGUCAGAGGUGAAAUUCUUGGAUUUAUUGAAGACUAACUACUGCGAAAGCAUUUGCCAAGGAUGUUUUCAUUAAUCAAGAACGAAAGUUAGGGGAUCGAAGACGAUCAGAUACCGUCGUAGUCUUAACCAUAAACUAUGCCGACUAGGAAUCAGACGAUGUUAAUUUUUUUAAUGACUCG